rfam:Weissella confusa LBAE C39-2, WGS project CAGH01000000 data, contig: WeissC39_1_contig00006
AUAACCUUUUAAAUUUUUAGUCCCGUGAGGCUACAAAGGGUUGCGUUGAUUAGGGGUACAGGGGAAAUUCAACACUCGCAUGGGGAAGGACUACCACCAGACUAAUCAGAAGCACAGCCUCGUGAAUCACUGGAUUCACGAGGCUUUUUUAUU